CCUACGGGCGGCAGCAGUGGGGAAUAUUGCACAAUGGGCGCAAGCCUGAUGCAGCCAUGCCGCGUGUGUGAAGAAGGCCUUCGGGUUGUAAAGCACUUUCAGCGGGGAGGAAGGCGUUAAGGUUAAUAACCUUGUCGAUUGACGUUACCCGCAGAAGAAGCACCGGCUAACUCCGUGCCAGCAGCCGCGGUAAUACGGAGGGUGCAAGCGUUAAUCGGAAUUACUGGGCGUAAAGCGCACGCAGGCGGUCUGUCAAGUCGGAUGUGAAAUCCCCGGGCUCAACCUGGGAACUGCCUUCGAAACUGGCAGGCUAGAGUCUUGUAGAGGGGGGUAGAAUUCCAGGUGUAGCGGUGAAAUGCGUAGAGAUCUGGAGGAAUACCGGUGGCGAAGGCGGCCCCCUGGACAAAGACUGACGCUCAGGUGCGAAAGCGUGGGGAGCAAACAGGAUUAGAUACCCUAGUAGUC
rnacentral:rRNA from 1 species